rnacentral:snRNA from 1 species
AACGUUGCGCAGUGGCAGUAUCAUAGCCAAUGAGGUUUAUCCAAGGUGUGAUUAUUGACAAUUGAAAAAUUGCU